ACCUACUGUUUAAUUUUGAGGGUUCGUUUUUACGAAUACUCAAAAUUAGCACUUUUAGCAACAGAAUAAACUGAACGCAUGUGAAGUUUGUUUGUUGGCGCUGUGCGUUAGCACUUUAAGCAACGGAAUUUAUUCGUUGGCGCCGUGCUUUAACACUUUGAAAACUGCAUAUAUAUUUAGUGAUAUGACAUCUAAUUUGUAAUAUAUAAAGCUGAUAACUUUUUAAAAUUAUCGAAAUUGAUAGCUUCUAAUCUAUCAAACCUUUUUAACUGGUCAA
rnacentral:misc_RNA from 1 species